AUAUCGAAGUUAGCCUGCCAGAGUAUGUUGCACAAAAAUAUGUAUAUAAUAAAAUAAAGUGAAAAUUAUCUUACACUACAAAGAAGCAGAAAGCCAUAGCUGAAAAUUUAAAAAUGAAAUGAAGAGAAACUUUGAAACCAAAACUACAUGACGUGACAUACUAAGGAUAUAUAUCCGGAAGGCGUAGUUCGGCCAUCUUGAUUUGAAGUAGCUUCAAGGGGAGAACCAGUUGAUCCGAAUGGCAUUCCUUCAGUGCUAUAAGCAACAUCCCCUGUUCCUACAUACUCUGAAGGCCAGUAUGAAAUGUCUUCGAUCGUAUGGUGAGCGUAAGGCGCAUAAGUAUGCUGGUAGUACGGGGAAUGGUGUUGUGCUGGAGCUUCGUAUUGCAAGGGAUACAGCGGCGCAGGUGCUGUUGCGGGUGAA